GACGAACGCUGGCGGCGCGCUUAACACAUGCAAGUCGAACGGAAAGGCCUGCUUUCCCUUGUGGAUUGCGGGUACUCGAGUGGCGAACGGGUGAGUAACACGUGAGUGAUCUACCCCCAACUUGGGUAUAAGCCUGGGAAACUGGGUCUAAUUCCCGAUAGGACUGCAGGGUGGUGCCUGUGGUGGAAAACGAUUUUCUAGUGGUUGGGGAUGAGCUCGCGGCCUAUCAGCUUGUUGGUGGGGUAAUGGCCUACCAAGGCGGCGACGGGUAGCCGGCCUGAGAGGGUGGACGGCCACAUUGGGACUGAGAUACGGCCCAGACUCCUACGGGAGGCAGCAGUGGGGAAUAUUGCACAAUGGGCGGAAGCCUGAUGCAGCGACGCCGCGUGGGGGAUGACGGCCUUCGGGUUGUAAACUCCUUUCGACCGCGAGGAAGCCACCUGGUUGGAAGGGUGGUGACGGUAGUGGUAGAAGAAGCACCGGCUAACUACGUG
rnacentral:rRNA from 1 species